GCUUGCUCUCGGGUGACGAGAGGCGUGACGGGUGAGUAAUGUCUGGGAAACUGCCUGAUGGAGGGGGAUAACUACUGGAAACGGUAGCUAAUACCGCAUAACGUCGCAAGACCAAAGAGGGGGACCUUCGGGCCUCUUGCCAUCAGAUGUGCCCAGAUGGGAUUAGCUAGUAGGUGGGGUAACGGCUCACCUAGGCGACGAUCCCUAGCUGGUCUGAGAGGAUGACCAGCCACACUGGAACUGAGACACGGUCCACACUCCUACGGGAGGCAGCAGUGGGGAAUAUUGCACAAUGGGCGCAAGCCUGAUGCAGCCAUGCCGCGUGUAUGAAGAAGGCCUUCGGGUUGUAAAGUACUUUCAGCGAGGAGGAAGGCGGUGAGGUUAAUAACCACAUUGAUUGACGUUACUCGCAGAAGAAGCACCGGCUAACUCCGUGCCAGCAGCCGCGGUAAUACGGAGGGUGCAAGCGUUAAUCGGAAUUACUGGGCGUAAAGCGCACCCAGGCGGUCUGUCAAGUCCGAUGUGAAAUCCCCGGGCUCAACCUGGGAACUGCAUUCCAAACUGGCAGGCUAAAGUCUUGUACAGGGGGGUAGAAUUCCAGGUGUAUACGGUGAAAUGCGUAUAGAUCUNGAGGAAUACCAGUGGCGAAAGCGGCCCCC
rnacentral:rRNA from 1 species